GCCUUCUUGUAUAAGCACUGUGCUAAAAUUGCAGAAACUAGGAUCAUAUCAUGGUUUUUGCAAUAAUGCUAGCAGAGUACACACUAGAAGAAAACUAACUGCACUAGAUUGAAGAGACUGGGGAGGACCUCUUUCUUUUUUUAACAUUUAAUAAAUUUUAU